UACAGAGGGGGCAAGCGUUGUUCGGAAUUACUGGGCGUAAAGGGCGCGUAGGCGGCCUUCUAAGUCGAACGUGAAAUCCCCGGGCUCAACCCGGGAACUGCGUCCGAUACUGGAAGGCUUGAAUCCGGGAGAGGGAUGCGGAAUUCCAGGUGUAGCGGUGAAAUGCGUAGAGAUCGGAAAGAACACCAGUGGCGAAGGCGACUGCCUGGGCCCAGACUGACACUGAGGUGCGAAAGCGUGGGGAGCAAACAGG
rnacentral:rRNA from 1 species